GAUGAACGCUGGCGGCGUGCCUAAUACAUGCAAGUCGAGCGAACAGAUGAGAAGCUUGCUUCUCUGAUGUUAGCGGCGGACGGGUGAGUAACACGUGGGUAACCUACCUAUAAGACUGGGAUAACUCCGGGAAACCGGGGCUAAUACCGGAUAAUAUUUUGAACCGCAUGGUUCAAUAGUGAACGACGGUUUCGGCUGUCACUUAUAGAUGGACCCGCGCCGUAUUAGCUAGUUGGUAAGGUAAUGGCUUACCAAGGCGACGAUACGGAGCCGACCGGAAAGGGUGAUCGGCAACACUGAAACUGAGACACGGUCCAGACUCCUACGGGAGGCAGCAGUAGGGAAUCUGCCGCAAUGGGCGAAAGCCUGGCGGAGCAACGCCGCGUGAGUGAUGAAGGUCUUCGGAGCGUAAAACUCUGUUAUUAGGGAAGAACAAAGUUGUUAGUAGCUGAUCAAGUCUUGACGGUACCUAACCAGAAAGCCACGGCUAACUACGUGCCAGCCGCCGCGGUAA
rnacentral:rRNA from 1 species